GACGAACGCUGGCGGCGUGCCUAAUACAUGCAAGUAGAACGCACAGUUUAUACCGUAGCUUGCUACACCAUAGACUGUGAGUUGCGAACGGGUGAGUAACGCGUAGGUAACCUGCCUGGUAGCGGGGGAUAACUAUUGGAAACGAUAGCUAAUACCGCAUAAUAUUAAUUAUUGCAUGAUAAUUAAUUGAAAGGUGCAAUUGCACCACUACCAGAUGGACCUGCGUUGUAUUAGCUAGUAGGUGAGGUAACGGCUCACCUAGGCGACGAUACAUAGCCGACCUGAGAGGGUGAUCGGCCACACUGGGACUGAGACACGGCCCAGACUCCUACGGGAGGCAGCAGUAGGGAAUCUUCGGCAAUGGACGAAAGUCUGACCGAGCAACGCCGCGUGAGUGAAGAAGGUUUUCGGAUCGUAAAGCUCUGCUGUAAGAGAAGAACGGGUGUGAGAGUGGAAAGUUCACACUGUGACGGUAUCUUACCAGAAAGGGACGGCUAACUACGUG
rnacentral:rRNA from 1 species